UACGAAGGGUGCAAACGUUGCUCGGAAUUACUGGGCGUAAAGGGCUCGUAGGCGGCCAACUAAGUCAUACGUGAAAUCCCUCAGCUUAACUGGGGAACUGCGUGUGAUACUGGAUGGCUUGAAUCCGGGAGAGGGAUGCAGAAUUCCAGGUGUAGCGGUGAAAUGCGUAGAUAUCUGGAGGAAUACCGGUGGCGAAGGCGGCAUCCUGGACCGGCAUUGACGCUGAUGAGCGAAAGCUAGGGGAGCAAACGGG
rnacentral:rRNA from 1 species